CGAAAAAGGCGGCGAAAAAAGCGCCGGGCGCAACCGCGGUGGAGGGGGCCGCGGGGGCGCCGGCCCGAAGGAGGCGGUCCCUGACUACCACCAGCUGCAG
rnacentral:ribozyme from 1 species